rnacentral:rRNA from 1 species
AUUGAACGCUGGCGGCAGGCUUAACACAUGCAAGUCGAGCGAGCGGCGGACGGGUGAGCAAUGUCUGGGAAAAUGCCUGAUGGAGGGGGAUAACUACUGGAAACGGUAGCUAAUACCGCAUACCAUCAGAUGUGCCCAGAUGGGAGUAGAUAGUAGGUGGGGUAUUGGAUCACCGAGGCGACGAUCCCUAGCUGGGCUGAGAGGAGGACCAGGCAAACUGGAACUGAGACACGGUCCAGAGUACUACGGGAGGCAGCAGUGGGGAAUAUUGCACAAUGGGCGCAAGCGUGAUGCAGCCAUGCCGCGUGUGUGAAGAUGGCCUUCGGGUUGUAAAGUACUUUCAGCGAGGAGGCGUUACUCGCAGAAGAAGCACCGGCUAACUCCGUGCCAGCAGCCGCGGUAAUUC